GUAAUUUGCAAAAUAGGGCUUUAAAGUAGAGCUUGUAGCUCCUUCUAGAAGCUCUGUCAAUCAGAGAUCUGAUAAUUACACUUUCAGGCUCACCUGACAGCCUGCGCUAAUUAGUUGGUGCAUCACUGUUGCUGAGGAGGAGCUUGUAGACACUGCUUCCGGGGAGAGAGUCCAAAGGCUGUCCUUGGCUAUGCGAUGUCUUGGCUUUGUUUGCCCAUCACCAAUGAUCACAGAGACAAGAAUAGUCUUUAGACUUACAAGUGCUUUCUUCCUG